AGCUGUGUAUCUCAGCAGAGAGCUACACUAAUCCCAUUCAGCUCUGACUCUGCUCUCAGUCACUUCACAUCUCUAUCAACAUGCUGCUCUCUAUCCUUUCUCUCCUAGCACUGCUUUUAGGAGACACAUCAGCACAGACAGUUGUGCCACUUGCAGGUCAAAUUCAUGUUUCAGAGGGUGAUAAUGUUACUCUCUCCUGCAACUACAGUAACCAGUAUGGUGGUGAUGUUCUCCAGUGGUAUCGUCAGUUUCCCAGAUCCAGACCAGAGUUUCUCCUGUACAUUAACCUGCAAGGGUCUAAGAGUGAUCCUCCUCCUCGAAUGUCUGUUGAACUUUAUCAAGACAACAAGCGUGUGAAUCUGGAGAUCUCAACUACAGAAGUAUCAGACUCUGCACUCUACUACUGUGCCUUGAGGCCCACAGUGACAGGAAACCCAGCUACACAGUACAAAAACCUCUUGGAAUGUAACUCUGCACUUGAUCAUGUAUUUUUGUUUCUGUACAAUGUUGUACACACUCUUCCACCAUGUCUGAUAUCAGCAUUGUUCCAUGAUCAUGUUGAAAAUGGUGAUUUAAAAACAAAUGGACAAAAAAGAGAAUCUCUGACCCUGUUAGAAGUAAUUAAUGACCUGCAUUAGUUGUGACUCAUACCUGCAUGAAGUCACUUUUGUUUUGUCUCAGAUAGCACUAAGAUAAAUAUUACAAAAGUUCUGCUAAAUGUUGGACCCAUAAUGACUGAAUGCAGAUCAGACUUCUGCUUAAAGCUACACUAAGCAAGCUUUGAGAUUUGUACAAUUCUCUCAUGGAAAUGUGCAUCUAAACACAAUCCAGAAGAACAUUACAAAGUGUCAGCUGAACUU